UACGGGGGGGGCAAGCGUUGUUCGGAAUUACUGGGCGUAGAGGGCUUGUAGGUGGCCAACUAAGUCAGACGUGAAAUCCCUCGGCUUAACCGGGGAACUGCGUCUGAUACUGGAUGGCUAGAGAUUGGGAGAGGGAUGCGGAAUUCCAGGUGUAGCGGUGAAAUGCGUAGAUAUCUGGAGGAACACCAAUGGCGAAGGCAGCUCGCUGGGACGGUACUGACGCUGAGACGCGAAAGCGUGGGGAGCAAACAGG
rnacentral:rRNA from 1 species